ensembl:snoRNA SNORD29 Small nucleolar RNA SNORD29
UUUCUGUGAUGAAUUAAACUAGCUCACUAUGAUUGGCAGUGAAAAUACAUGAACACCUGAGAAAC